rnacentral:rRNA from 1 species
AGAAUCAGCGCUGGCGGCGUGCCUAACACAUGCAAGUCGAACGAGAAAGUGGAGCAAUCCAUGAGUAAAGUGGCGACCGGGUGAGUAACACGUGACUAACCUACCUUCGAGUGGGGGAUAACAUCGGGAAACCGAUGCUAAUACCGCAUAACAUCGCAAGAUCAAAGCAGCAAUGCGCUGGAAGAGGGGGUCGCGGCUGAUUAGCUAGUUGGCGGGGUAACGGCCCACCAAGGCGAAGAUCGGUAGCCGGCCUGAGAGGGCGCACGGCCACACUGGAACUGAAACACGGUCCAGACUCCUACGGGAGGCAGCAGUGGGGAAUUUUGCGCAAUGGGGGAAACCCUGACGCAGCAACGCCGCGUGGAGGAUGAAGCCCUUGGGGUGUAAACUCCUUUCGACCAAGACGAUAAUGACGGUACUGGUGGAAGAAGCACCGGCUAACUCUGCGCCAGCAGCCGC